UCUGCCUCUCUAAGUUGUGUUUCUACCCUGCAGAGAUUUUUUUUUUAUCGCCUUUUAAGUGCUAGGUCUCCUUCUGAAUGUAUUCAGUUGCAGCUUCUAUUGCUGCCUUUGAUAACCGAUUCCACAAAUUAACCCUUUGUAUCAUUUCUCCAAAACUCCUUUUGACAGCAGAUUUCUUUUUCCAGCUAAUCUAAGGAAUAACAUAAAGCCUCAAAGCCUCAAUGAGAUGCUUUUGGGCUACAAACGGUGCAAAACUUCUCUCACAAGCCAGGAAUGAAAGGAAUGAAAGGCAUCUGGAUUUCAACCUACAAAAUGAAAUUAAUGACAAAGGACAUGCAAGUGAGUUUGAAAAACAACAAUAACAAAAAAGGAGCCCAGAGGAAUUCUGUGGCACUCAUUGAAGCUGUUUGACUCUUUGAUUUUCCUGGAGCUGUUCAGAUCCCAGUAUAGGGUUUGUUGUUUUCUGGCCAUUCUUUUUCAGCUCUUCAGCAGCAAUGCAUUAUUCUGUAUCCAUGACUCCCAAUCUUUGCAAAUGUACUAAAUUAAAACCUAUGUGAAAUAUUCAUUGGAGGAGUGUGGAAAUCAGCCACAGAGGCAUUUUUAAAGAUCAGAAUGAAACCUUGUUAUCUCAAGAGAAAAGCUCAACAAUUGAAUAAAUAAUAAUAUUGGUCCUUUAGACCUAAGAGU
rnacentral:lncRNA from 1 species